rnacentral:lncRNA from 1 species
GGAAGUUGUGGAUAUUUCUACAGAGCACUAGAGUGACAAUAGCUAGCUGUAAGGUAAUCUUAUGAUGUUACUGGUCAGCUACCGAUUCAGGGAGCUAUCUGUUGGAUAUUAGUAUACCUUUCAUCUAUAUCAUCUACUUCUAUUUCGUAUUUCUUAUAUUUCUACUAUUUUGUUAUUUUAUGUUAUAUGGUGUAUUUUAUGUUAUUUUUAGUAUGAAUUUAUUGAUAGUACUAACUUAUUGUCUCUUGUUGAUAUCUUGAGCUGAGGGUCUCCUGGAAACAGCCUAUCUGCCCCUCGGGGUAGGCGUACCACAUCCAGAUAUCUUGAGCUGAGGGUCUCCUGGAAACAGCCUCUCUACCCCCGGGGUAGGGGUAAGAUCUGCGUACAUAUUACCCUCCCCAGACCCCACUUGUGGGAUUUUACUGGGUUGUUGUUGUUAUUGUUGUUGUAAUAUUAGUGGCUAUAAAGCUUGCUCGAACAUUCAAAAGUUCUAAGCCCAACCUUGAAAGAAUACUUUAAAGAUAAAAUUAUAAAAAAAUUUAAGAAAUAUUUAUAAAUUACAUUACGGUAAGUAUAUUUAUACAUUAAAUAUAUGCAAAAUUUCUAUAUAUGUAAUGUUGGGUUGGUUUGGUGGUUUGACUUUCUUUAGUUAAAACCAAACAAAACCAAUUAUGGUCGGGUUUUUUUUCCAACAUCAAACCAUGGUCAGGUUUUUUUUCGGUUAUAUUCGAAUUAUCGGGUUGGUGUAAUUUAUCGGUUUGCUUUAUACAUCCCUACACAUACUAAAAACUUUAGGAGAUUAUUGGAGAUUAGGGGUGUACCAAAUUAAAUCAAGUAUGUGAAGUUUUUAAAGCUAUACACCAAGUCAAAUCAACAAAAGUCAAAAAUUUUAUGGUCUCGGUUUUUCCCUUUUUUUGAUUUGGGCAGCUAUUUUCUAUUUUUUCCUCCCGCAAAAGUUUUCGUAGCACAAUUAUUUAAUUAGUGCUUCAAAUAUUUCUUUUGUUCUCGUCAAAUACAGCAAAUAUAGCUCAAUAAUUGUUCAUUUCAUGGCUGCUAAAGAAAAGCUUUUAUGCAAAAUUUGAAAAUACUGUCAUCCUAAUUAAAUAAGUACUAUUUAUAAAAAUUAAUUACAUGGCUAAAUACUAUGAAAAACUAAAUUAAAAUUUUCACAUUCACCAUCUAAAAAAAUGCAGCAAAGCUAAAGUCAAAAAUCUCCAACUUUAUUUAUAAUUUUAGGAAAAAUAAUAUUAUAUAGCCAUUCUUAAUAUAAUAGCCUAUAUUGUAUGGGGCGGAGUGCUGGUCAGUGAAGAACUCUCAUGUUCAGAGAAUGAAGGUUGCGGAGAUGAGGAUGUUCAGGUGGAUGUGCGGGUACGAUCAAGAAUGAAGUUAUUCGGGAGAAGGUGAGGGUGGCCCCAGUGUAUGGGAAGCUGCGGGAAGCGAGGCUCGUGGUUCGGACAUAUGCGGAGAAGAAGCACCGAUGCCCCGGUGAGGAAUUGUGAGUUGCUAACGGUUGUUGGCGCGAGUCGAGGCGGGGGGAUGCCAAAGAGGUAUUAGGGAGAGGUGAUUAGGCAAGACAUGGCAAGAAUGCGGAUUUCCGAGGGCAUGACCCUUGAUAGGAAAGUAAACCAGAUAUAAAGAUGGCGACUAGGGUUGCUGUUUCCAUUCUUAUCAUAUUUAUAAAAUUAUGUCUAGUAUCAGGGUUGUAGGAUAGGGGCUUCUAGAAUUUUGCGCUCUUCUCUCCCGGAGCUGGGCGCGGUUGGAUGGACGUUGUUAUUGCAUGUCAUUUUUAUUUAUGGUUUAUGGUCAUAUAAUUAUUUAUGUGUCCCCUUUUGUUUUUGUUUUUGUUUAUCUUUUCCGUUUGCUUGCCAUGUUAUUUAUGGUUUAUGUUUACAUAAUUAUUUAUGUGAUUUCUACUGGAGUUGCUAAUGCUCUUUUGUUUUUGUUUU